rnacentral:rRNA from 1 species
UUGGAGCGGCCGAUGUCGGAUUAGCUAGUUGGUGGGGUAAAAGCCUACCAAGGCUACGAUCCGUAGCUGGUUUGAGAGGACGACCAGCCACACUGGGACUGAGACACGGCCCAGACUCCUACGGGAGGCAGCAGUGGGGAAUUUUGGACAAUGGGCGCAAGCCUGAUCCAGCCAUGCCGCGUGCGGGAAGAAGGCCUUCGGGUUGUAAACCGCUUUUGUCAGGGAAGAAACGGUUUGGGCUAAUACCCCGAACUAAUGACGGUAC